CCGGAUUUAUUGGGUUUAAAGGGUCCGCAGGCGGAAUAUUAAGUCAGUGGUGAAAGCCUACAGCUCAACUGUAGAACUGCCAUUGAAACUGUUAUUCUUGAGUAUGGAUGAAGUGGGCGGAAUAUGUCAUGUAGCGGUGAAAUGCAUAGAUAUGACAUGGAACACCAAUUGCGAAGGCAGCUCACUAAACCAUUACUGACGCUCAUGGACGAAAGCGUGGGGAGCGAACAGGAUUAGAUACCCUGGUAGUCCACGCCGUAAACGAUGAUCACUAGAUGUUG
rnacentral:rRNA from 1 species